CUGUGAAAACUAUCAGCGUGGGAAAUAAGGGAUGGACAGCGGGGAAUGAAAAAGGGGAGGGCGGCUUAUGUUAAAGGAGGCCGUUGACCCAUCCUGAUAUUAUAAGUGUUUAUCUGAAAAGAACAGGAGAGGAGGCUGGGUGGAAACGAGGGAUCACGGUGAAGAGGGGUUGCCCGUGCUUCCCAGAACAACAGCACUGUUUUGACUCUUUGCAGAUGGAAAACAGCAAUCGGAGCUCGGUGUGGACUUGGUAACCUGAGCCCUUCCUCCCCAUCCACGCCCACCCUGGAGAUGACAGCGUGGUCCGGGUUUUUUAGGCUAGGGAUGAGCGUAUCACAUCUGACCGCACUGAGGAUGUAGAGGUCAAGACUGGGAGAUCCCGAUGGGGCUCUGGUGAAUGGAGAUGUCUCCUGCUGAUUAGUUUAAACACAGGCCUUUUCUUCUGGCCCCAUCUUCUUCCAUCUCUCCAUUCGUAAUGGCAGUUCAAACAGGCCGAGGGCUUUUUAUUGUAUUAAUGAAUGGCUCAAAAUGCCAAGAUGAUAUUUCAAGAUGUCAGAAUUGGUUUUGAUAUUUUUCACUCAGGGGUUGGUGUAUUAAGGCUCAUUUUGUCAUUUUACAGCCACAGACCUCCAUGUAUUUUAUGGGGAUUGUAUGUGAUAGAGCAACACUAACUAGUGCAUUGUUAAUGUAAAGAGGGAAGAAGAUUAUACAUGGUUGUCCUACUUGGUUUAUUUUUUAUUAAUAAAAACAUGGUGUGCAGUCAU